GACAUAGGUGGCAAGCGUUGUCCGGAAUAACUGGGCGUAAAGAGAGCGUAGGCGGUGUAUCAAGUUGAUUGUGAAAGCCCGUGGCUUAACCACGGAACUGCAGUCAAAACUGGUAGACUAGAGUUCGGAAGAGGAAGGUGGAAUUCCUAGUGUAGCGGUAGAAUGCGUAGAUAUUAGGAGGAACAUCGGAGGCGAAGGCGGCCUUCUGGGACGAAACUGACGCUGAGGCUCGAAAGUAUGGGGAGCAAAC
rnacentral:rRNA from 1 species